rnacentral:misc_RNA from 1 species
UACGUCAACCCUAGAAACCAACAAAAUAAGAUCGACGUCCUAUUUCAUUAUUCCAUGCUAAUGUAUUCAAGCGUUAGCCUGCUUUAAACACUCUAAUUUUUUCAAAGUAACAGUCCUGUUUCCCCGCAACACCAAGUUAAUGGCAUCACGGUUCUACAAGAGGGAGGAAUCAGUGAGGCCAGUUCAUACCGUUGGCACGACCGACCU